AGCAGCCGCGGUAAUUCCAGCUCCAAUAGCGUAUAUUAAAGUUGUUGCAGUUAAAAAGCUCGUAGUUGAAUUUCGGGGUCAGCAGGUUGGUCGUGCCAAUGGUAUGCACUGGCCUUGCUGAUUCCUCCCUCUUGUAGAACCGUAAUGCCAUUAAGUUGGUGUUGCGGGGAAACAGGACUGUUACUUUGAAAAAUUAGAGUGUUUAAAGCAGGCUAACGCCUGAAUACAUUAGCAUGGAAUAAUGAAAUAGGACGAUCGAUCCUAUUUUGUUGGUUUCUAGGAUUGACGUAAUGAUUAAUAGGGAUAGUUGGGGGCAUUAGUAUUCAAUUGUCAGAGGUGAAAUUCUUGGAUUUAUUGAAGACUGACUACUGCGAAAGCAUUUGCCAAGGAUGUUUUCAUUAAUCAAGAACGAAAGUUAGGGGAUCGAAGACGAUCAGAUACCGUCGUAGUCUUAACCAUAAACUAUGCCGACUAGGGAUCGGAUGAUGUUAAUUUUUAAUGUACUCAU
rnacentral:rRNA from 1 species